GGUCAAAGCACCGGUGUUGUGGAAGGA
rnacentral:piRNA from 1 species